rnacentral:rRNA from 1 species
CCCUUAGAUGUUCUGGGCCGCACGCGCGCUACACUGAUGCAUUCAACGAGUUUCUUCCUGGUCCGAGAGGAAUGGGUAACCUUUUGAAAGUGCAUCGUGAUAGGGAUAGACUAUUGCAAUUAUUGGUCUUCAACGAGGAAUUCCUAGUAGACGUAGUUCAUCAGACUGCAUCGAUUACGUCCCUGCCCUUUGUACACACCGCCCGUCGCUCCUACCGAUUGAAUGCUCAGGUGAGCCAUUCGGACUUUCAUCAUGCUGGUUUCCAGUUUUGAUGAACGAAAGUCUUGCGAACCUUAUCAUUUAGAGGAAGGAGAAGUCGUAACA